AUUGAACGCUGGCGGCAGGCUUAACACAUGCAAGUCGAACGAGUGGCGGACGGGUGAGUAAUGCUUGGUAAUCUAGCUUUUGGAGGGGGAUCACUACGGGAAACUGUAUCUUAUACCGCGUUCCCUAUGAUUAGCCCACGUGGGAUUAGGUGGUUGGUGAGGUAAAGGCUCACCAAGCGGACGAUCGCUAGCGGGUCUGAGAGGAUGACCAGCAACACGGGGACGGAGAAACGGCCCAGAUGCCAACGGAGGGAAGCAGGGGGGAAUAUUGCGCAAUGGGGGAAACCUGACACAGCAAGGCCGCGUGAAUGAAGAAGGCCUUCGGGUUGUAAAGUUCUUUCGGCAGCGAGGCGGUAACGAAAGAAGAAGCACCGGCUAACUCCGUGCCAGCAGCCGCGGUAAUUC
rnacentral:rRNA from 1 species